CUUGUCUUUGGGGUUUCAGGCGCGAACACUUUAGGAUGGGGGAAACCUCGAUAACGGAAAACCCAGUGCCAGCAACAAAUGUCAAGUCCCGACGAUAUACAUCAUCUGUGCACUUUAUU
rnacentral:rRNA from 1 species